GAACCGUCCUAACGUUGUUCGGAUUCACUGGGCUUAAAGGGCGCGUAGGCGGGCGUGCACGCCCGGGGUGAAAUCUCUCGGCUCAACCGGGAGGCUGCCUCGGGGACGGCGCGUCUGGAGGGAGGCAGGGGCCCGCGGAACUUCCGGUGGAGCGGUGAAAUGCGUUGAUAUCGGAAGGAACGCCGGUGGCGAAAGCGGCGGGCUGGACCUCUUCUGACGCUGAGGCGCGAAAGCCAGGGGAGCGAACGGGAUUAGAUACCCCGGUAGUCCUGGCCCUAAACGAUGGGUACUAGGUAGCGGACUUGACAUGGGUUCCCUGCCGAAGCCAAAGUGGUAAGUACCCCGCCUGGGGAGUAUGGUCGCAAGGCUGAA
rnacentral:rRNA from 1 species